rnacentral:rRNA from 1 species
CCUUUGACGUUAGCGGCGGACGGGUGAGUAACACGUGGGUAACCUACCUAUAAGACUGGGAUAACUUCGGGAAACCGGAGCUAAUACCGGAUAACAUUUGGAACCGCAUGGUUCUAAAGUGAAAGAUGGUUUUGCUAUCACUUAUAGAUGGACCCGCGCCGUAUUAGCUAGUUGGUAAGGUAACGGCUUACCAAGGCGACGAUACGUAGCCGACCUGAGAGGGUGAUCGGCC